rnacentral:lncRNA from 1 species
GGGAAGGCUGGGACAGCACAGCUCCGAAAGGAGAUGAAGAAGACACAUUCCCGACCCAAAUGUGAAUGGAUGAUGUUUUUCUCCACGUCAAGAUAAAGGCUUUUCUAAGGACGCAUAUGACGAUGCAUCACAUUUAAUGAAUGAACCAAAUGAGAAAGAACUGAAUGCACGUCAACCCUCGGUCAGAGAAGAAGUAGAAAAUCACACAGAGAUGGUACAAAGGAGAAAGAUGCUGGUGAAAAUCCUGAACGGUUUUUCUCUGACUCCAACGUCCUCAUUUGUAGUUCCAUCUUCCUAAACGUCAGCGCCGUGUUCCCUAAGCUAGACUUCUACGAAUGCAGAGGAAUUCAUUUUGUAAGCUACCUCUUGGCCCCGUGACACUCUUCACAGUCACUGGCUUGAAAGCCACUGAAUGGGGAUCAUUUACUUACUUUCAUGUAAAUAUGGAAAAAGCUUUCUCUUAUAAAAAAUAUUCAGUUAAUGUUGAUACUGGAAAUUAACAAUGGGUGAUGUUCAUGGAUGUCCAUCCCAUUCUGGAUUUUCAAUUCCACACCGACUUGGUUGAGUCUUCUACUGAUCCACAAGCAUCAGCUUCAGGAUGGAUGCUCUUGAAAACUGGGAAGAGACAGGAAUGAGCAGGGACUGACCUAAAGAGCAGCACCACCUAGCCUCCUUCCCCAAGCUCUUUGCUGAGAAGUGGUUCUUCAGAAGAGGCUGUACUUUAGUCCAUUUUUCUUUUAAUAACCGAAUACUACAAAUGAGGGAAUGUAUUUUCAAAUAAUAUAAAUUUACAUUUUGCUAUUGUGAUAGAUUAUAUGUCUGUGGUUAUAGCCAUUUUCUAGCCUAUUCUGAACAGUCCCAAGAGUACAAGAUAUGGCAGAGCUAGCUGACUUACUGACUUAUUGGAUCUUGGCUCCUUUCCUUAUUAUAAGUAGGUCAUGAUUUCUCUCUCUCUCUCUCUCUC